rnacentral:rRNA from 1 species
AGAGGGGGCAAGCGUUAUUCGGAAUUAUUGGGCGUAAAGGGCGCGUAGGCGGCUUUGCAAGUGACGGGUGAAAUCCCUCGGCUUAACCGGGGAACUGCCUGUCAAACUGCAUGGCUUGAGACCGGGAGAGGUGAGUGGAAUUCCCAGUGUAGCGGUGAAAUGCGUAGAUAUUGGGAGGAACACCAGUGGCGAAGGCGGCUCACUGGACCGGUACUGACGCUGAGGCGCGAAAGCGUGGGUAGCAAACAGGAUUAGAUACCCUGGUAGUCCACGCCGUAAACGAUGAGUGCUUGGUGUAGCGGGUAUCGACCCCUGCUGUGCCGAAGUCAACACAUUAAGCACUCCGCCUGGGGAGUACGGUCGCAAGGCUG